rnacentral:rRNA from 1 species
CGGAUUGGCUCGCGUGACAUUAGUUAGAUGGUAAGGUAACGGCUUACCAAGACUACGAUGUCUAGGGGUUCUGAGAGGAAGAUCCCCCACACUGGUACUGAGACACGGACCAGACUCCUACGGGAGGCAGCAGUGAGGAAUAUUGGUCAAUGGCCGGAAGGCUGAACCAGCCAUCCCGCGUGCAGGAUGACGGCCCUAUGGGUUGUAAACUGCUUUUGUACCUGAAGAAUGGGCCCAACGAGUAUUUUCUUGACGGUAGAGUAGGAAUAAGCACCGGCUAACUCCGUGCCAGCAGCCGCGGUAAUACGGAGGGUGCAAGCGUUAUCCGGAUUUAUUGGGUUUAAAGGGUGCGUAGGCGGUGAUAUGGGUCAUUGGUGAAAUACUGCCGCUUAACGGUAGAAUUGCCAUUGAUACUGUUUUUCUUGAGUAUGGUUGAGGUAGGUGGAAUGUGUUGUGUAGCGGUGAAAUGCAUAGAUAUGACACAGAACGCCGAUUGCGAAGGCAGCUUACUAAGCCAUUACUGACGCUGAGGCACGAAAGCGUGGGGAUCGAACAGGAUUAGAUACCCUGGUAGUCCACGCCGUAAACGAUGAUCACUCGCUGUUUGCGAUAUACAGCAAGCGGCUGAGCGAAAGCAUUAAGUGAUCCACCUGGGGAGUACGAUCGCAAGGUUGAAACUCAAAGGAAUUGACGGGGGCCCGCACAAGCGGAGGAACAUGUGGUUUAAUUCGAUGAUACGCGAGGAACCUUACCUGGGCUUGACAUCCCGGGAAUUGUCAGAGAUAUCAUAGCUAGCAAUAGUCUGUAUCGAGGUGCUGCAUGGUUGUCGUCAGCUCGUGCCGUGAGGUGUCGGCUUAAGUGCCAUAACGAGCGCAACCCUUGUCGUUAGUUGCCAUCAAGUAAUGUUGGGGACUCUAGCGAGACUGCCACCGUAAGGUGUGAGGAAGGGGGGGAUGACGUCAAAUCAGCACGGCCCUUACGUCCGGGGCGACACACGUGUUACAAUGGUAGGUACAGAGGGGCGCUAUCCAGCGAUGGAAUGCGAAUCUCAAAAACCUAUCUCAGUUCGGAUCGGAGUCUGCAACUCGACUCCGUGAAGUUGGAUUCGCUAGUAAUCGCGCAUCAGCACGCCGCGGGUGAAUGCGUUCCCGGGCCUUGUACACACCGCCCGUCAAACAAUGGAAGCUGGGGGUACCUGAAGUCUGUAACCGCAAGGAGCGGCCUAGGGUAAAACUAGUAACUGGUGUUAAGUCGUAACAAGGUAACC